GUUGAUCCUGCCGGACCUGACUGCUAUCGGAUUGGUACUAAGCCAUGCGAGUCAUUGUACAAUACAAGGCGGACGGCUCAGUAACACGUAGUCAACCUAACUCGUGGACGUGGAUAACCUCGGGAAACUGAGAAUAAACCACGAUAGAUCAUAGUGCCUGGAAUGGCUUAUGGUCCAAACAGUUUACUGCCAUGGGAUGGGACUGCGGCCUAUCAGCUUGUUGGUGAGGUAAUGGCCCACCAAGGCGAUUACAGGUACGGGCUCUGAGAGGAGAAGCCCGGAGAUGGGUACUGAGACACGGACCCAGGCCCUAUGGGGCGCAGCAGGCGAGAAACCUUAGCAAUGUGCGAAAGCACGACUGGGUCAGUCCGAGUGAUUCCUGAUAAAGGAGUCUUUUGCUUGUCCUAAAAGCACAGGUGAAUAAGGGGUGGGCAAGUCUGGUGUCAGCCGCCGCGGUAUACCAGCACCUCGAGUGGUCAGGACGUUUAUUGGGCCUAAAGCAUCCGUAGCCGGCGCUGCAAGUCUUCGGUUAAAUCCACCUGCUCAACAGAUGGGCUGCUGGAGAUACUACAGCGCUAGGGAGUGGGAGAGGCAGACAGUAUUCAGUGGGUACGGGUAAAUCCUCU
rnacentral:rRNA from 1 species